GUAUUAUUUUCCCAUUUUACAGGUAAGGAAACUGAGCCUCAUAGAGAUGAUGCAAAGCCAUUCAGUGCCAGAGCUAGAGUUUGCACUCAUGUCUACGUGUCUACGCAUGCCUGCAGGCUGCUCUGUCCCCACUUCACUCACUUAUCACAAACCACAGAGAUGGGGUCAGAGCAGCUUGUCAUAGUGCUGGAAGCAGAAGCUCACUUCCCAAUCUGUAGCAUGCUCUUAACUCUUCUUCUCCCAGAACAAAGGCCAUGGCAAGGCAAGGGAAGAUACAGGAGCCUCCAGGACACCAGAAGAAAAAGGGUUUGGCUUUAUUGAGUGGGAACGUAGGAGUCAGCAACGAUUGUGAUUGCCACCCUCACCCUUGGUUGUUCUGCAAAGCCGGAACAACCUGAGGAUGCAAGAGCUAUUCAGUAAACCACUGAUGGUGUUUGUACUAGUUAUCUACUGCUGUGUAACAGAUAACUUGUGUAACAAGCUAUCCCCAAACUUAGCAACUUAAACAAAUCCAAGGGAGUCUUAAAAUUGCAGUGAAGUUGCUGGCCAGGGCUGCAGGUAUCAGAAGGGGCUGAAGCGUCUGCUUCUAAGCAUUUGGCUGGUGGCAAGAGGAUUUGAUCCAUCAUGUGACUGCUUACAACAUGGCAGCUUGCUUUUCUGGUUUUGGGGUAGAAAGGGGGCGGGGAGGAGGGAGGGAGGAGGAAGAAUAGAAGUGAAAACCUUUUACAAGUUAACCUUGGAAGCAUCAUACCAUCGCUUUAUGCUAUUGACCACACAAACCCUUCCUGCCUGCUGCAAUGUGGGAAGGAUGACACAGGAUGGGGAUGCAGGAGGUGAGAGUCACUGGGGUUCAUGGAGGGGGCUGCCCACCCCCAAUGGUUCUAACAGCCCACCAUGCAUCAGCAACAUUGUCAUGCCUAUUCCUUCAUGGGAGGAAAGUGUCAGCAAUGAUGUCUCCAAAUACUUUCAGGCAGUUUGACCAUCUCUGCCCCCAGGAAUGAAAGGCAUAAUUACUUGUGACCACAGCACAAUGACAAUUUAAAGGCUUGCUCAGGAGGUGUCUACAUCU
rnacentral:lncRNA from 1 species